UCUAUAAAAUGGGAUUUGGAUCCUCUCCUGAGCUUAAGGAGACGAUCCUCCUGACCAACAUAUAUGGGCCGUUGGAGCCGUUGGAUUUUCAUCCAACGGCUACAAAAAUGGAGUCUCUUUAAAGUUAUAAUAAUUAUAGCCGUUGGAUUUUCAUCCAACGAUCCAUAUAUAUUGGUCAGGAGGAUCCUCUCCUUAAGCUCAGGAGAGGAUCCAAAUCCUAUAAAAUGC